rnacentral:rRNA from 1 species
AACAGGGAUUGCCUUAGUAACGGCGAGUGAAGCGGCAAAAGCUCAAAUUUGAAAUCUAGCACUUUCAGUGUUCGAGUUGUAAUUUGAAGAAGGUAACUUUGGAAUUGGCUCUUGUCUAUGUUCCUUGGAACAGGACGUCACAGAGGGUGAGAAUCCCGUGCGAUGAGAUGUCCAAUUCUAUGUAAAGUGCUUUCGAAGAGUCGAGUUGUUUGGGAAUGCAGCUCUAAGUGGGUGGUAAAUUCCAUCUAAAGCUAAAUAUUGGCGAGAGACCGAUAGCGAACAAGUACAGUGAUGGAAAGAUGAAAAGAACUUUGAAAAGAGAGUGAAAAAGUACGUGAAAUUGUUGAAAGGGAAGGGCUUGAGAUCAGACUUGGUAUUUUGCGUUCCCUUCCUUUUUGGUUGGGUUCCUCGCAGUUUACUGGGCCAGCAUCGGUUUGGAUGGUAGGAUAAUGACAUUGGAAUGUAGCUUUACUUCGGUGAAGUGUUAUAGACUUUGUUGAUACUGCCUAUCUAGACCGAGGACUGCGUCUUUGACUAGGAUGCUGGCGUAAUGAUCUUAAG